AACGAACGCUGGCGGCGUGCCUAACACAUGCAAGUCGUGCGAGAAAGUUCCUUCGGGAGCGAGUAAAGCGGCGCACGGGUGAGUAACACGUAGGUAACCUGCCCCCAAGUCUGGAACAACUGGAGGAAACUCCAGCUAAUGCCGGAUGAGACCACGAUCCCCUCGGGGGUUGUGGCCAAAGAUGGCCUCUGCUUGCAAGCUAUCGCUCGGGGAUGGGCCUGCGGCCAUUAGCUAGUUGGUGAGGUAACGGCUCACCAAGGCAGUGAUGGCUAGCUGGUCUGAGAGGAUGACCAGCCACACUGGGACUGAGACACGGCCCAGACUCCUACGGGAGGCAGCAGUGGGAAUAUUGCGCAAUGGGCGAAAGCCUGACGCAGCGACGCCGCGUGGGUGAUG
rnacentral:rRNA from 1 species